UCAGUGAACAUAUUAACACUAGCUUUCUGCUAGCUGAAGUUCAGUCGGUUAUUUACACAAGAUGGCAGAUAGUUACACAAGAUGGGCUGUCUUACCUCAGGGGCUAUGAGCGUGCGCGUUACUGCUGCCGGUUCAGCGAGGCUUUCUGAGAGAAGUGUUUUAUGUGACUUGUUAAGAAGUUGUUUGUCAUCAGAAUGAGCGUUUUAACCGUUUAACAGAGAAGGUUUUCUUACCAAAGACAUUAAAUCAGCUCUUCACUUUAUUGCUGUGUGCCUCAGUGUGUUAAUUCUGAGGGGUAUAAUUCAGAAAAACUGUUUUUCAUGUGUUUCCAGUACUUCACACGUACUAAAGAUGUGAGUAUCAUCAAAAAUACCUUGCCACAGUCUUUAUGAACUCUUGUUUGAAUAUUAACCAUUGAGACUGAAAGUUUACUGUUUUCUGAUAUGUAUGACUUUUAUGAAUGUGUUAUCUCCUGAUCAUGCAUUUGACUAUGAUGUGGUUGACCAGCGAAAUUUAUUUAUUUCCAUUAUUUCCAUAAAUAGCAAUGUAAAUAAUGUAAAAUAAUGUAAAAACAACACAUACAAAAUUUCAGAUACCUGUUAUGGACAUCACAAAACUGACGACUCUGACGGACAUACUGUCCUAACAGUAUUAUGUUGUCAAGUUUCUGGAAGAAGGAGAUCCAUUUGCCAUCGUUCAUCGGUCAUGGGUUAAAGAAGAUAAGGAGAGUGGAUUAUACUACAUCCCGUGGCCCAAAGAGCAGCCAACACCAAAACGUCUGACGCGACCAGUUCCUCCAAGCCAUGUUUGGUGGAACCAUUAUGAAGUAUAUCUCCUCUCCCGUUGUAAAGAUCUCCAAACUGCGACUAACUGGUCGCAAAACUAUAAACGAC